AGCCCCGCACGUGACCGUGCCCAGCAGCGCCGCCCCGCGCUCUUAAAGCGGCAGCGCUUCUCCCGCCGCUCCCAACGCCCCUCAGCAUCCAGCCUGCCGGCUUGAACUAAUCCAGUCGUUAUUUGGAGGCAGCGCUGAUUGCUGUGUGGUGGUGUCAGAUCCCCUCAGCAGAACCCCCCAGAGUUGGGCUGUGCAGAGGCUGGAGCCCUGUGCCCCAUAACAGCAUUGCCAGGAGCAUCCCACCAUGUGUGCAGCCAUUUAGGAGCAGCUGGAUGUGUUAAAAGACCAUCUUCAAGGUGUCUUGAAAACUAAUGGUGCGUGAGUCUACAUUAUGUCAUCAGUCUGGUAGGAUCGGGUGGAGACAUGACGGCCUUGGAAUGUUUCUUAGAGCCUGGAUUCGUUAAGUGCCUGCUGCACGUAGCCCACCCCUGUCCUGUGCUGAAGUGAGCAGAUGAGCUCACACAGAAGUUGGGCCAUUCUUCCUCUUAUCAUUUACACAAAUACUUUCACUUCUGUUGCAACUCCUCACAACUUCGGCCGUGCAGUCCUUCAGACAGAAAGUACAACGAGGAAAAUCCUAAGCACAAAAAAACUCCUUGGCUUUCCUGCCUACGAAGGAGAGGAACAUUACAGAAGAAUCAUUCAUCAGGAGUGGACAACUAGCAAAUGAGGCUCUGCUUGGAUCCCAUCUGAAAGCAGCUAUCGAUAUCAUAUGGAGCUUGAAAUGAGCCUUGUGCAAGUAGGGUUCUAAAAGCCUCAUUUGGAACCCAAAUCUGAAAGCAUCCUGUUUUGUUUUGUUAUUUGAAUGUUGAAUGUUUCUAAGUUGUGUGUUUUAACUGGAACUGCAGGAACCCAAGGCUUCCAAUCGCAUGCAAACCUGCCCUAAUCUGACACCUAUUAUGAGCUUAAAAAAAUAUCGGAGGAAUGUAGGCUUCUAGCAGAGCCUGCCACCAAAGCGUGGAAACAUCCUGCCAACGUGUUUGCUCACUGCUGUAAUGAACACAUGCAAGAUUAGAAAGUUUGUUUAGGUAUUACUGGGAACCUUUUUCCAUCACAAUCCUUUCAGCUGUUUCACAAGGACUGAGCAGGAAAUUCGGCCUUUGGGCUCAUGCGUAAGGUACGUGUAAUGGUGAGGGAAGACAGCAGCGCCAGGCUGUAACCCAAGGAGCUGCUUAGUGAGUGCACUGUGGGUCACUACCAGACUAAGGUACAGGAACUUGCAACGACAUGAACAACAGAGGGGAAAUAAGAGUCACGGCCUAAAUUGGCUCUUUUGUCAGUGUCAUGUAAUGUGCUUGGGAUAGUUUGUAUGGCACAACUGCAAUAUAAUUGCAAUCAAGAAAUGAGUAUGUAGACUUAGGUGGGUUGGGAUUGCUGUAACAUAAAUCUGAGGCAGGGGAGGAGCUGCAGCCCAGUGAUGCAGAGAGUCAAUUUCUCUGCUCUGUAAAAUACAUCCUGUGAUUUCCUGCUCAUGUAUUGCUUCUUAGUGUAGUCAAGCACAAACUAUUUAAGGCAGGGAUUCACUGUGCGUGCAAUUGUAUGUUAUGUAAUAAUAACGAUGAGUCUAAUUGCUAUUGUUAAAAAAAAAGAAAAAAAGUAUAAUAAUAAUAAUAAUAAUAGCUGUGAUUUCUGCCUUCCAAAGUAUUUUCUUUGAAGUAAUCAGGGACUUGUUGCUAGGCAGUUAAUAUUUCAGGUACCUUAAAUAUUUUAAUGCGUCUGUGCCUGCUGUUUCUAGGCACCAAUAUUUGUUUAUGUUAUCGUUAUACAACCCUUUCUACCUUAUAUCCUUUGUUCAGUCUAAGCUAAUGGAUCCAUACAGUGAGAUUUCAAUCACACAGGUGUUUUUUUUUCACAGGUUUACUACUGAGAAUGACAAAAUUCCUCUGAUGCAGAUUUGUUCUUUAUCAGGAUGUUUUGCACUAAUAGCAUUUACUCUUUCUUUGUGCAGUCCCCCUCCCAGGUGUGUUCUAUCUUCACGAGGGCUUGGUGUGUAGGCAUGUAGUAAUUUUAAUAAAGCUUUGAAUUUAAUGUUUGAGAA